UACGUAGGGGGGCAAGCGUUUGUCCGGAUUUAUUGGGGCGUAAAGAGCGUGUAGGCGGUUUGGUAGGUCCGCUGUGAAAUCCCUCGGCUCAACCAAGGAAGUGCAUUCGAAACCGCAAGGCUCGAGUCCCGGAGAGGAUGGUGGAAUUCUCGGUGUAGAGGUGAAAUUCGUAGAUAUCGAGAGGAACACCGGCGGCGAAGGCGGCCAUCUAGACGAGGACUGACGCUGAGAUGCGAAAGCGUGGGGAGCAAACAGG
rnacentral:rRNA from 1 species